GGGCGACGGGGUCAGCACGGAGGGGGCGUGGCUGAGAUCUACUGGGCGGAACUGGUUCGUACUGGGGAGCAACUGGGAGCUGAGGAGUAGCGGGGCGGAACCAAAACGCUUGCGCCCACCCGGACCCUUUUUGCCCGGCGCGCUUCCGCUUCUCCACUUCCGCCUUCCGCUGCGGCGCCGGAGCUGGCGGACCAUCCCGGCGGGGCCGCGGCGCGGCCAUGACGCGGCACGGCAAGAACUGCACGGCGGGGGCCGUGUACAGCUACCACGAGCGCAGGAAGGACACAGCGGCCUCGGGCUACGGCACGCAGCGGGUGCGGGUGGGCCGUGACCGCCAUCAAGGAUUUCGAUUGCUGCUGCCUCUCCCUGCAGCCCUGCCGGGACCCCGUGGUGACGUGAGUGAGCGCUGGGAGU